CCCAGGACAUGCUAACCUCUCAUCAUUACAAUUACAAGGGGAGGUUAGCAUUUUAUAUCAUACCCCCCAGGACAUGCUAACCUCUCAUCAUUACAAUUACAAGGGGAGGUUAGCAUUUUAUAUCAUACCCCCCAGGACAUGCUAACCUCUCAUCAUUACAAUUACAGAGGGAGGUUAGCAAUUUUAU